rnacentral:rRNA from 1 species
UACGUAGGGUGCAAGCGUUAAUCGGAAUUACUGGGCGUAAAGCGUGCGCAGGCGGUUAUGUAAGACAGUUGUGAAAUCCCCGGGCUCAACCUGGGAACUGCAUCUGUGACUGCAUAGCUAGAGUACGGUAGAGGGGGAUGGAAUUCCGCGUGUAGCAGUGAAAUGCGUAGAUAUGCGGGGGAACACCGAUGGCGAAGGCAAUCCCCUGGACCUGCACUGACGCUCAUGCACGAAAGCGUGGGGAGCAAACAGG